rnacentral:rRNA from 1 species
UACGUAGGGCGCAAGCGUUGUCCGGAUUUAUUGGGCGUAAAGCGCUCGUAGGCGGCUCGUUGCGUCGGCUGUGAAAACCCGCAGCUCAACUGUGGGCUUGCAGCCGAUACGGGCGGGCUGGAGUUCGGUAGGGGAGACUGGAAUUCCUGGUGUAGCGGUGAAAUGCGCAGAUAUCAGGAGGAACACCGGUGGCGAAGGCGGGUCUCUGGGCCGAUACUGACGCUGAGGAGCGAAAGCGUGGGGAGCGAACAGG